rnacentral:rRNA from 1 species
AACGAACGCUGGCGGCAUGCCUAACACAUGCAAGUCGAACGAGACCUUCGGGUCUAGUGGCGCACGGGUGCGUAACGCGUGGGAACCUGCCUUUAGGUUCGGAAUAACUCAGAGAAAUUUGAGCUAAUACCGGAUGAUGUCUUCGGACCAAAGAUUUAUCGCCUUUAGAUGGGCCCGCGUUGGAUUAGCUAGUUGGUGGGGUAAAGGCCUACCAAGGCGACGAUCCAUAGCUGGUCUGAGAGGAUGAUCAGCCACACUGGGACUGAGACACGGCCCAGACUCCUACGGGAGGCAGCAGUGGGGAAUAUUGGAACAUGGGCGAAAGGCUGAUUCAGCCAUGCCGCGUGAGUGAUGAAGGCCUUAGGGUUGUAAAGCUCUUUUACCCGAGAUGAUAAUGACAGUAUCGGGAGAAUAAGCUCCGGCUAACUCCGUG